rnacentral:rRNA from 1 species
ACGUAGGUGGCAAGCGUUGUCCGGAAUUAUUGGGCGUAAAGCGCGCGCAGGCGGAUUAGUCAGUCUGUCUUAAAAGUUCGGGGCUUAACCCCGUGAUGGGAUGGAAACUGCUGAUCUAGAGUAUCGGAGAGGAAAGUGGAAUUCCUAGUGUAGCGGUGAAAUGCGUAGAUAUUAGGAAGAACACCAGUGGCGAAGGCGACUUUCUGGACGAAAACUGACGCUGAGGCGCGAAAGCCAGGGGAGCGAACGG